GCCAGUGUGGCAUAGUGGUUUGAGCGUUGGACUAAGGCUCUGGAGACUAGGGUUUGAAUCCUGCCUCGGCCA